UACAGAGGGUGCGAGCGUUAAUCGGAAUUACUGGGCGUAAAGCGCGCGUAGGCGGCUUUGCAAGUCGGGUGUGAAAUCCCCAGGCUUAACCUGGGAACUGCAUUCGAGACUGCAUUGCUAGAGUAUGGGAGAGGGAAGUGGAAUUUCAGGUGUAGCGGUGAAAUGCGUAGAUAUCUGAAGGAACAUCAGUGGCGAAAGCGACUUCCUGGACCAAUACUGACGCUCAUGUGCGAAAAGCGUGGGGAGCAAACAGG
rnacentral:rRNA from 1 species